CUCAAAACGUUUUAUUUUGCAGACCUAUUAGAAAUGUUAAUGUGACCACCCAUUAGGUUUGACUAAAACAUCAUCCACUGUAACCUGAUAACCAAAUCUGAUGCGUUACCACCAGUGUGUCUGGUUAGCUAAAAUGGUAGGCAAGAAUAAACGAAAACGAGAAUCCAGCACGGGCUGUUCCAAGAUAGAACUCCUCCAAGGAUGCAAAAACUGAAAAACAAGCUACAGCAAACAACAUUACAGAUGUGUGGUCAGGCCUAUUGUAAGAAGGCGAAGACCUGUGGGAAUGAAGUGACUGACAGUCUUUGCAGGACCAGCUGAACCAGCAUCACACCAUUCUUGUUCAUUGCAUGAAGUAACUGACUUUGUAAACAAUAUAAACAUUCUUUUUUUCA